UGGGGGAUAUUGCACAAUGGGCGAAAGCCUGAUGCAGCGACGCCGCGUGGGGGAUGAAGGCCUUCGGGUUGUAAACUUCUUUUGCUCUGAACAAGGCGCACCAUGGGGUGUGUUGAGUGUAGGGGUUGAUUAGCGCCGGCUAACUACGUGCCAGCAGCCGCGGUAAGACGUAGGGCGCGAGCGUUGUCCGGAAGUAUUGGGCGUAAAGGGCUUGUAGGUGGCUGGUUGCGUCUGUCGUGAAAGCUCAUGGCUUAACUGUGGGUUUGCGGUGGGUACGGGCUAGCUUCAGUGCAGUAGGGGAGGCUGGAAUUCCUGGUGUAGCGGUGGAAUGCGCAGAUAUCAGGAGGAAUACCGGUGGCGAAGGCGGGUCUCUGGGCUGUUACUGACACUGAGGAGCGAAAGCAUGGGGAGCGAACAGG
rnacentral:rRNA from 1 species